GUCUAAAGUUACAGAUUUGAAACAUCCAGGAGCACGUGACACCUUCACAAGAAAUAAUACAUCAGGAGACGAACAAGAUGACAACCACAAAGGCAACGAUUUUCCUGACUGGGCUAUUGCUUUAUUCGCAAUUGCUGGUGGAAGUAUUGCCAUUUUAUUAAUUGGAAUAAGGGCAAAACGCUUCUGUAACAAAAAACAAAAUGCUGUGAUAUAGUGGCAAAU